rnacentral:rRNA from 1 species
AGGCAAAUCCGGUACUCGUUAAGGCUGAGCUGUGAUGGGGAGAAGACAUUGUGUCUUCGCGUCGUUGAUUUCACACUGCCGAGAAAAGCCUCUAGAUAGAAAAUAGGUGCCCGUACCCCAAACCGACACAGGUAGUCAAGAUGAGAAUUCUAAGGUGAGCGAGCGAACUCUCGUUAAGGAACUCGGCAAAAUGACCCCGUAACUUCGGGAGAAGGGGUUCUCUUUAGGGUUAACGCCCAGAAGAGCCGCAGUGAAUAGGCCCAAGCGACUGUUUAUCAAAAACACAGGUCUCUGCUAAACCGCAAGGUGAUGUAUAGGGGCUGACGCCUGCCCGGUGCUGGAAGGUUAAGAGGAGUGGUUAGCUUCUGCGAAGCUACGAA